CACGUAGGGACCAAGCGUUUGUCCGGAUUUAUUGGGCGUAAAGCGCUCGUAGGCGGUUCGGUAAGUCGGGUGUGAAACCUCCAGGCUCAACCUGGUGACGCCACCCGAUACUGCCAUGACUUGAGUUCGGUAGGGGAGCGGGGAAUUCCUGGUGUAGCGGUGAAAUGCGCAGAUAUCAGGAGGAACACCGGUGGCGAAGGCGCCGCUCUGGGCCGAAACUGACGCUGAGGAGCGAAAGCGUGGGGAGCGAACAGG
rnacentral:rRNA from 1 species